rnacentral:rRNA from 1 species
CCUACGGGCGGCAGCAGUGAGGAAUAUUGGUCAAUGGGCGAGAGCCUGAACCAGCCAAGUCGCGUGAGGGAGUACUGCCCUAUGGGUUGUAAACCUCUUUUGUCGGGGAGCAAAAGCCGGACGUGUCCGGCUGUGAGAGUACCCGAAGAAAAAGCAUCGGCUAACUCCGUGCCAGCAGCCGCGGUAAUACGGAGGAUCCGAGCGUUAUCCGGAUUUAUUGGGUUUAAAGGGAGCGUAGAUGGGUUGUUAAGUCAGUUGUGAAAGUUUGCGGCUCAACCGUAAAAUUGCAAUUGAUACUGGCAGUCUUGAGUACAGUUGAGGUAGGCGGAAUUCGUGGUGUAGCGGUGAAAUGCUUAGAUAUCACGAAGAACUCCGAUUGCGAAGGCAGCUUACUAAACUGCCACUGACAUUGAUGCUCGAAAGUGUGGGUAUCAAACAGGAUUAGAUACCCGUGUAGUC